rnacentral:misc_RNA from 1 species
GAUGAAGAACGUAGUGAAAUGCGAUAAGUAGUGUGAAUUGCAGAAUUCAGUGAAUCAUCGAAUCUUUGAACGCACAUUGCGCCCCUCGGUAUUCCGUGGGGCAUGCCUGUUCGAGCGUCAUUUAACCCCUCAAGCCUAGCUUGGUAUUGGGUGCUUGUCCCGCCUCUCGCGCGGUGACUCACCUCAAAGUCAUUGGCAGCCCGCAUCUCGCCGGCCGUGAGCGCAGCACAGACGCGCUCUUGGCAACGACGGAUCGGCUCUCCAAAAGCUUAUUUCAACCACUGACCUCGGAUCAGGUAGGGAUACCCGCUGAACUUAAGCAUAUCAAUAAGCGGAGGA